rnacentral:tRNA from 2 species
GCACUCUAGGCCGACCGGUGAGGCACCCGACUCAUAAUCGGAUUUAGGCGGGUCCGACUCCCGCAGGGUGCA